GCAAUGCCUGCCCAGUGCGAUUAACUUCGUAAACGGCCGCCCUAGCGUGAGGGUGCUAAGGUAGCGAAAUUCCUUGCCUUUUAAUUGUAGGCCUGCAUGAAUGGCUCGACGAGGGUUUAACUGUCUCUAGUCUUAGAUUUUAAAUUGGAUUAAAGGUGAAGAUACCUUUAUAAAAAAGUCAGACAAGAAGACCCCGUGCAACUUUUAAAAUCAGCUUAUUAAGAAAUCUUAGAUUUUUAGGUGGGGCGCCUAUUAAGUAAGUGUAACCUUUUUAACUAUAAAAAACUCUCAGGUAUAGACCCGGUAAUUACCGAUCAUAGGAGAAGUUACGCCGGGGAUAACAGGCUAAUUCACUAGUAGAGAACGUAUUGGCUAGUGAGAUUGGCACCUCGAUGUUGAAUCAGGGAUGAUACCUUUAAGGCGUAGAAGCUUUAA
rnacentral:rRNA from 1 species